rnacentral:sRNA from 1 species
UAUAUCCCCUAUUAGCAACCACUAUAUUAACAAUUAGAAACGCCUGAAUAAUAGUGGGAAUAUUUUAUAAUAUAAAUAUUUAACAACUAUUAUAUUAAUUGGGGAAAAUCUUCUUUUAAAUAUUUUCCAAUAUUAAAAAAGAGCUGGUACGCCAAAAAUUAUUCCGGUGCCGUAAGUGGAUUUCCGAAAAAUUAAUUGGUAAAGGCUUUUAAAAAAACCAUUUUUAAUUCUUACCAAAUUGUGAUUGAAUUUGUACGCAAAAAUAUAUUUAUUGACCUGGUAUAAAAUAACUAAUCCGCAGGUAGUGGGUAAAUAUUAAAUUAUUACGAUUAAAAUAUCGGGGUAAUUUGUUUUUAUAGUAAACUAUAGUUGGUCAAAACAAUUAAACGUUUUGGUUGGACAAUUGGGUAUUUUUUAAUAAUUGGGGGAAAAUGCUAAUCGAUUUUUCGGUAAAUAACAAAUCAAUUGCUAUUAAACAAUCCUCAAUUAAAUUUACUUAUAUAAUAAAGACGUAUUUUAUACAAAUUAUAUUCUAAAUAUAUUGUUUUUAACUUUUGUAAAAUUAUUAAAGUUAUUUCCCUAAUUUGUUAUAAUUUUAAAAAGCUGUUGAAAUUAUUCGUUUGGCAAUUACGUAAUAUUACGUAAUCCAUUUUUUAUAUAAUUUUGUUUUUGUCGGUCGCUGUUUUCUUUUAUAUAUAUUGUUAAAAAUAUAAGCCCACCUGGUUUUUCGGGAGGGGGGGAGAGUUGGGCAGUACAAAACCAAAUAAUUAAUAAUAUUUGUUUGAAAAGCAAAAUAUAUUUUUAUCCCGUACAACCCGUUGUAAUUACCAAAAGGUGUGAAAUUUCAAAACAAUAUAUAUAUUUAUAAAAUUAAAAAGGUCGGAGAUAAUUUAAAGGAUAAAAAUAAUAAAUCUAAUAAACAAAUAGGUUAUAAGAAGAUAUUUAUUAAAAUUAUAUACAAAAUCAAUUAUAUAAGGAAGUUUUAUAAGUAAGUUUAUUUGGUAUUUCCUCUAUUUUAAAUAUUUAAUAUCCACAUAUAUUAUUUUAUUACAAUAAAUAACUUAUUUAACAGAAAAAAUUUACAUGAAUGCAAUAAAAAAAAUGGGAUUAUAUAUAAAUUAAUUUGUUAAGUUAUAAAAUUUAUUUUAUAUAAUAAAAAUAGGUUUAAAAUAAUCUUCUUCAGCUUUUUUUGUAAUAUAAUAAUUAAAUCAAACUUAUUUUUUCUUUCUUAUUAUUCCUUUAAAUUAAACUGGAUUUAAAGUAAUUUGGUUUAAUUAAAUUUAUAACCGUAUUUUAAAUAUAACGCGGACGAUUGCAAAAGGUUAACUGGUAAUAAUUAAAUCUUUUAAUUCGAAAAAUCAAAUAUUUUAUUAACGCAAGACAAAACGCGGUUUGGAAAUAUUUGGUAAAACGGCGAACCCCAAUAUAUUAUAAUUUAAAAACCCUAUCCGACGACUUCCAAUAGUUUUCCAGUAAUAUAUAAGAGAAGUUGCAAAUAUAAGAUUUAUUGCGGAGUUUGCACUAAGUAAAAGGUUAUUUUUUGGAAAUAUUUUUUAAAAUUGCCAAAAAUUAAUAUUAAAACUUAAGGAGUAAUUUAAAUUGAAAAUUUAAAUUUAACGCUUUUUGCAAAAUUUGCUUUAAUAAUAUUAAAAAUUAAUAUAGCGGUAAAAACCUUUUAUUAAAUAAUAAAUAUUUUAUUAAAUAAUUUUCCAACUUUAUUUACCGGGUAAAACAAACCUUUUUAUUUUAAAUAAUAAGGUGGGAUGUUGGAAAACCCCCAAAGCCAAAUAAUAAUUAAAUAUUCCUCGGUAAAUAAGGGGUUGGACUUUAAAAAUACCGAAAUAAAUUUAGAAACACUAUUUACCGUACAAAGUGGAAUAUGGAUAUAAUUAUAAUUAAAAUAAACUUUGAAAAUAAAAGGCAAAAUAAACGUCGCAUUAAAAAAACAAAUGUUUAUUUAAACCCUAUUACGCUAAUUAUAUUAAUUAAAAAACGUAAGGAAAAAACCUAAACGCAACCGUUUAUUUGCGAUUCGGUACCUAAUAUUAUUUUUUAUAAAACGUAAAAUAUUUUGACAACUAAUAAUCUUUUUACAAGUAGUAUUUAGUGCGAUAAAUUAAAAAAGGUCGAAAAGAACUUGGAAAAAAAUAAUUCCGGGGCGGAAAUUUAUUUGGAACCGGAUAUGCGGAAAAUGCGUCCUUUUAAAAUAUAAAUAAGAAUUAUAUUUAAUUUAAUAAUAAUUGAUUAUAUAUUUUUUAAUAUAAUAAUAAGUAAAAACUGUAAUUAUUAUUAAAUAAUAACCGAGGAUAUUGUAUUAUAAAUAGGGUUUAUUAUUUUGGUAAAUAUAUAAUAAAUAUUACGGACUGUUAAAACCUUUUUGGGGUAAGCCUAAUCGCAAAUAUAAUAAUAAAUAUAGUUGAAAUUUAAUAAAUAAAUACGAAUUUAUAUUAUAUUUAAAUGAAAAUAAAAUUUCAUUAUUUUUCGAAAAUAAUUAUUUAUUUAUACCUAGUAAUAUUCGGUACUUUAUAUUAAAAAACCAUAGUGUAAAUUGCGUUAUACGUUCCAAAAGUGUAAAAAUAUGUCACGUUCGUAUGACAAAGCCUUAUAAUUGGGACCGACGAGGUAUCUGCUAAGUGCAGGUACUGCAGGAUCUUUUGAUCCAUUUGUCGUAUCUGUUAUAUCGUCGGGCAAAUACGUGACAAAAUACAAUUAUAUAUAAAAAAUAGUAGCAAAACAAUUCGACAGAAUUUACUAAACCGUAUUUGAAAAAUAAAGCAAAAACGCGACUAGAAUUGCGUUUUACGCAAUAAUAAUAAAAAUGUUAAAAGAGAUUAUAUUAUUUAAAGAACCCUAAUUGAAAAUACUUUUUUUAAAACAAAUACCAGAAAGACUUUACAAAUUUAUUAAUUCUUUCUUGAAGAGGACCGAAGAAUAAACUUUCUAUAAACCAAAUACUAAUUAAUAAAAUAAAAAUAAAAAAUCCCAAACGGUAGGAAGAUAUUAUAAUAUAAAGUUUAUUAUAUAUUAUUACGCGGAAUAAAUUGUUAAUAUUAUGGAAAACGUUCGACAAUUUGUUUUAAAAAAAUAGGUUACCAAAUUUAAUAAGUUUUUAACGCUCGGCCAGUAACAUUAGUAAAAAUUCCAGGGCGCGGGACAAAGUUUUACGUCAAUUAUAAAAUGCUAGAAGUAAUUUUGCAACGGACCGUUAUUUUUAUAAUUUUAAAUAACGAAAUGUUGCGCAAAUAUUUAAAUUGCAAGUAAUUUAUAACAUUGGACGUAACUUUGGUCAAAAUUAAAAUAGGGCAAAAAUAUAAAGCAAAUUUUAAGAUUAAGUACGGGUUAUUCGAAGGGCUAAUAAUUUCGCAAUAUUUAUUUACAGCCCUAAUAAUAUUCUAAAAAAAACUUAUAUUAUAUAAUAAAAGUAUUAUUAAAUAUUAUUUAUAUUAUAUGCGUAAAUAUUAUAUUUACCUUUAAUAAUAAGUUUUGUAAUAAUUAUAUCGGCAGAAAAAGAAAUUUUGCCGAAAUUCCGUAAAUAUAAAUUGCAUUAUUAUCCGGCCAAAGCGGACUUUUACGCCAAAAGAUUUCAUAUUUAAAUUUUAUUAUAAGAACCGGGGCUAAGGGUUAGUUGGGUUCCGAAAAGACAAUACUAACUGAAAAUUAGAAAAUAUUAAUAUGUUAAAAAAACGAAGAAGUUUUAUUAGAGUUUCGAAAAUUUACCAAAUAUAAAUCUUUAUUAUUAUAAUACAAAGGCAGCUUUAAUAGUAAUUUAAUUUUAAAAAUACGCCGUUCGAAGAAGAAUGCGUAUAAUAAAAUAAGGUUAACGCAAUAAAAAGAUAAUUACCAACGCGGUAUAAUUAUUUAAAUUUGAACUUUACAGAAAUAUAUAUUUUAAAAUAAAUUAUAAUUAGUUUGCGUUAAAACUAAUAUUAUUAUAAAAACUAGCGAGAUAAAUAUUAUAAUGCUUUCCAGUUUACAAAAGUCUACAGGUUUGCAACGAAAUUACCCUAUUUGUAGUGAAAUAUUAGGUCGUAUAUACUUUCUUAAUUUAUUAGAAAAUUAUAUAAAAACAAAUGGUAAAAUUUACCAUAUUUACGGAUUAUAGGGAUAUUUAUUAUAUUAGAGGUAAAUUAAAUAAAUACAACGGUAAACAAAGUGAGUUCAAACGUUAUACAAAUAUAAUAUUAUGCUAAUUUACCAUUUAAUAAUAAAAAACGUUAUGCAACGUUUUUAAUUGCCGCGAAUAAAACGAACCGACGGGGAAAGACCAGUGGAAUUAAUAUUAGUAUUAAACCCCGCAAUUAACAAUAUAAAAUUUAAAUAUAAUAACAUUUCCAAAAUGGGUUAUAUAUAUGGAAAAUAGCUAGUAUAAAAAGAAUUAAAUAUUAAAU